rnacentral:rRNA from 1 species
UACGUAGGUGGCAAGCGUUGUCCGGAAUUACUGGGUGUAAAGGGCGUGUAGGCGGGGAAAUAAGUCAGAUGUGAAAUUCCAGGGCUCAACCCUGGCGCUGCAUCUGAAACUAUAUCUCUUGAGUGCUGGAGAGGAAAGCGGAAUUCCUAGUGUAGCGGUGAAAUGCGUAGAUAUUAGGAGGAACACCAGUGGCGAAGGCGGCUUUCUGGACAGUAACUGACGCUGAGGCGCGAAAGAGUGGGGAGCAAACAGG